GUACUUUCCUGGCAGGGGAGAUACCAUGAUCACAAAGGUGGUUUUCCCAGGGUGAGGCUUAUCCACUGAACCCCAGAUAUCCUGACCCCUGUGAUUUCCACAAAUGUGGGAAACUCAACUGCAUAAUUUGUGGUGAUAGCGGACUGUGUUUGCACUGUCCCCUG